CGGCAUGUACACCCAUCAGACCAUCACACGUACGGGUUACCUGCUCCACCGCUAGCUAGAUUGCCCUUAUCUAUUCGUCUCCCACCGAUAUGCAUCUGGAUCCGUCUUCAUUAUUCCUCCGGCCCUUUUCUCGCAGUUAACCUAGUGGGUCGAGCUAACCCCCCGCCUGCAAUCUGCAGCAAGGACCCCGUCGGUGAGCCAUCUCACCCCUGCGCUGCACAGGCUGCGCGUCUCUCUUGUCUCCCCGCACGCAGCCGGAUCUCCCGCACCACCGGCCAUGGCUGAGGAUCUGUAGAGGAGCUGGCUUCGGCCGCACCCGAGCACCGACGGGCACUCUCUUUUAGUCCCUCAUUUCCGUGUAUUCAUAUUGGCUCUCUCAUAAUGAGAAUGAGCUAGUAGCUGCAACUAUUUUUCCCUAAGCAUCCCCAUGCUAUGUUUUUUGGAUUUCAACCGCCUCUGUUUUAUCUUUGGUUGUAUCCUUCCGGGGCCAUAUCUCAUCCUUUUUGGUUGGCUUGUUGAUUCUCGCAACAAUGAACACAUAUAAGUUGCUAAGAUUUAAUAUAAAGAGGCGGGGUGGGAUUAUUUUUGGGCUCGGGCGGGGCAGACGCCCGCAACGACGCGUCACCCCUUCCUUGGCUCCUGCAGUGUGGAUGCCGGUGGCAUGCGGCGACGCGUGUCCUGGGUGAUAAAAUAUGUCUCCGG
rnacentral:lncRNA from 1 species